UGUGUAGUUCCUGGCAUCGUUUAUGUAAAAUUCCUAAAUGAUUAGUCUGUUCUCUAAAAAUACAUGUUCAAUGGAAAUCUUCAUGCUCAGUAUCUCGACAGUCGCCGAUCAAGACAGUGCAUAAACAGCAGCACAGGAAUCAUUACCAGUGGAGUGGCUAUCUAGCAAGUGUGAUCAGUUCGCUAAAAGACCGUUAAUACUUUUCGGAAAAUGGGCAGUUUAAGUAUAUUGAUUCUCUUGGUUCUUAUUGCUUGUAAUAUAGCAUACAGUAGACCAAUGGUAGAUCAAAAAUCUCCUAGCGAUAGUGUUGCUGCUGUAGGUGAUAUCCGUGUGCCACGAGUGCACUUGGCUGAUCGCCCAUCUGAUGUUUACCAAGCGGGCAUAGCAAAUGUGAAUGGACGAUUUGGGAAAAGCAUUCGGGCAUUUACAGUGAAUGAAUUUGAAAAAUAUAUUGGAG